rnacentral:rRNA from 1 species
GUCGUAGACCACGACCUUGAUAGGCCGGAUGUGGAAGUGCGGUAACGCAUGGAGCUAACCGGUCCUAAUUGCUCUGUUCGCGCUUGAAU